rnacentral:rRNA from 1 species
AUGAACGCUGGCGGCGUGCCUAACACAUGCAAGUCGAACGAGAAAGGGGCCUUCGGGUCCUGAGUAAAGUGGCGAACGGGUGAGUAACGCGUAGGUAACCUGUCCUCGAGUGGGGAAUAACCUGGCGAAAGCCGGGCUAAUACCGCAUGACAUCCUCAGCUCUCCGGAGCGGAGGAUCAAAGGUGGCGAACUUCGAGUGCUGACGCUCGAGGGGGCGG